rnacentral:rRNA from 1 species
UGGCUUAAAAUUGAGCCUCGAGACUGCGAUACGUCACGACAAGUGGUGGUUGUAAGGCUUUGUCCUUUGAUUAUUCAUGUCGUGAAUGUCGCAUCUCAUCACUCAAACGUAACCCAAACGGAACGUCCUUGAUGUUGCCAGCAUAGCGACCCCAGGUCAGGCGGGAUUACCCGCU